GAGGAGGAACCAGGACGAGCGAGCAAUGGCAGGACUAGCUGGACCGUAAGUAGUAGCUGAAUUGUGCAUGACAACUUGACAUCCGUGCGGCACUCGCCACUUGCCACUGCAUAUUAUUUUCUUGUCCACUAACAAUGUCUCUCCUCUGCCCCCUGUGUGUCCACGGCCCUGUUGCUGAAUUGGCCCGAUGAAUCGAAUGUCUUCCGCAACUGGAACGGCCCAGUAAACGAUGUCGCGUCGGCGACUGAAUGCGCUGGAGGGAAAAUAUUGCUGCGAAGACGUUUCCUCUAGACCACGGUAUAUCAUCCCGUGACGACCACAUUGAAGUCUGAAUUUGAAGUGUGAAGAUGCUUCAGCAACCACAUCGUACUUUUCCAUUGCUUUCAUUCCUUCUGCUUUCUUUCUUCAUCACUUGUAUCUUGCAGGUAUAUCAUCCCGUGACGACCACAUUGAAGUCUGAAUUUGAAGUGUGAAGAUGCUUCAGCAACCACAUCGUACUUUUCCAUUGCUUUCAUUGUGCUUCUACUGUGCAUGUGUGUAACUUGUGGGGUAAACAUGUGAUGACAUUGUAUGCUGGCGACACGGUCAGAUGUUGUCCAUGCGUCUAACGUACACGUGCAUGUUAUGCAUUGAAAAGGAUUUGCCACUUGCGAUCCUGGGACGAGUAUCAGGUCAGCUUUGUCCUGUCUGGGCUGUAUCAGAUUGCUGUUCACUUCUCUAUCUGUUGGAUGUGUGACUUUCUGCAAGUUUCUGGUGUAUGAUGGCCACUUCCUUUCUUGUCACUUUGUAUGAUAUUACAUUCUGUAUUCGCUGCUUCCAUGGCGUGGUCUGCAAACUGCAAUCCUUGGGCAAAUGUCAUGUUUGCUAUGUUGUGCUUUGGCCGUCAGCUUGUCUACACGCUGUAGUUGAAUUAUUUUUGUUUCACAACUGACUUCCUCAAGUACGGUGGCCACUGCUUUGCAUGGCAUUAUA